UGUGUUACAGACAUCUGCCCAUUGCAGCAAUCCGAUUGUAAGACAAACACCAUCAGCACAAAUACAUUCCUUGUCCUAGUUACACCAAUACAAUCUGGCCCCUGGUGUUUAUUUCAGCACUGAGUGAUUCUUUUGGUUAUUUAUAGAUUGGUCUGAGAUUGUGUCAGUGGGGCAAGAGUGAAGCUGCGUUAGCAGCCAGAGUACUCCGGAGAGGUCUGUUGGCUGAAACUUGUCCACUGCCUGUGUAAAAGUCAUGGUGAAGAAGUGGUCUUGCAUCUUUGCUACCGUGGAGCAAAUGCUCUAUGGACUUUGCCUUGGACCAGCCGCGAAAGACCUCAGACGCAUACUGGAAGAAAAGCUGUGACUCAUGCUCUUGAGGGCUCCACUCAGGCAUGGUGCCAUACUAUACUGCUUUUGAGCAUGCCACAGUUGUGCUCUGAGUUCAGGAACUAGCUCAAGGGAUAUGAGUUUGUGUGCCUUGGCCCACAGAACAAAUGAAAGUAGACCCAUCUUCUCUACAAUGAUCUAAAGUGGGGAACAGGCCUGAGGAAUCUGAAGGGUUUUCAAACAGAUAAAUCACUACACGUUUAUAAAAAA